rnacentral:rRNA from 1 species
GCUUGUCUCAAAGAUUAAGCCAUGCAUGUCUAAGUAUAAACUGCUUAUACUGUGAAACUGCGAAUGGCUCAUUAAAUCAGUUAUAGUUUAUUUGAUGGUACCUCUACUCGGAUAACCGUAGUAAUUCUAGAGCUAAUACGUGCGCAAAUCCCGACUUCUGGAAGGGACGUAUUUAUUAGAUAAAAGGCCAGCCGGGCUCACGCCCGACCUGCGGUGACUCAUGAUAACUUCACGAAUCGCACGGCCUUGUGCCGGCGAUGUUUCAUUCAAAUUUCUGCCCUAUCAACUUUCGAUGGUAAGGUAUUGGCCUACCAUGGUUACAACGGGUAACGGGGAAUUAGGGUUCGGUUCCGGAGAGGGCGCCUGAGAAAUGGCGACCACAUCCAAGGAAGGCAGCAGG